CUGCGGGGGUGAGCACUGUGGGGCUGGGCACUGCGGGGUGGGGACCGCGGGGCUGGGAAAUGCGGGGCUGGGCACUGCAGGGGUGGGAAAUGCGGGGCUGGGCACUGCGGGGGUGGGAAAUGCGGGGCUGGGAAAUGCGGGGAUGGGCACUGCGGGGUGGACGCGGAGCCCAGCAGGCGGCUGGCGGCGGGGAUGGCGGCGGCGGGCUGGGAACCGCGGGGGGUCGCGGGACCCGCAGGUGACCGAUGGCGCGGGUGGGCGCGGCUGUCCCUUCACAACUGAGGCCUGGACGGACGCCGCCGGCGGCCACCUUCGCGCAGCUGACGUCCGUGUCCCGCUGGCCUUCGGCCAGGCCCUCCACCUCCCACACGUACCUCCAGCCGCCUGCCGCCGCCCACGGCCGGCCCGGACCCGGCCCGAUAGGUCUCGCCGAAGACGCCGCGGCCGCCCGCUGCCGGCUCCUCACUUCCGCCCGCCGCGAGCGCCGAGCGCGUCGAUCCGCCGGGCAGUCGAGCGCCGAGUCUUCGAUGGGCGGCGCCCGCAGGGGAGGCUGGGAGGAGGGGAGCAGGCCGGCGCGGGAGCGGGAGGUCAGCAGGGGCCGUGGGCGGUGGACGCCGGCGUGUCUUGGGUUCCGAGGGACCCAGCUGUCGGAAUGGACACGCUUCACCACGAUGGGCCUGCACCGGGUCGGAGGACCGCUCCGGGACAGGGGGAUGCACCAGGUCCAGAGAACGCAUGGGAUCACAGGGCUGCACCGGGUCAGGGGGCUGCACCGAGACCGGAGGAAGCAUCAGGUCAGGAGGAGGCCCUGGAGUGUGCAUCCCCGGGGGGCCACACUGGGUAAGGAUGCACCAGGUCAGGAGGCAGCACUGAGUCAGAAGGAUGCACUGGAGUCAGGGGACUGUGCCAGGUCAGGAGGAGGCCCUGGAGUGUGCAUCCCCGGGGGGCCACACUGGGUAAGGAUGCACCAGGUCAGGAGGCAGCACUGAGUCAGAAGGAUGCACUGGAGUCAAGGGACUGUACCAGGUCAAGGGGCUGCAACAGGUCAGGACGAGGCACUGGGGUCAGGGGGCAACACUGAGUCAGGGGCAGCCCUGGGUCAGGAGGAUGCAUGGGGUCAGGGGGCUGCAGGGGUUUAAGGGCUGCACUAGGUCAGGGCGCCGCACCAGGUCAGGGGAUGCGCAGGAUCGGGGUGAUGCUCGGGGUCGGGGGAUGCUCUGGGUCGGGGGGAAGGUCGGGGUAGGUCGGGGUCGGGGGGAUGCUCGGGGUCGGGGGC
rnacentral:lncRNA from 10 species